GAUCAAAUCAGAAACCAGGACGGCUUUUCUAAAUCAGGGACAUCCCUGGAAAAUAGGGACACCCAGAAGGUCUGGGCUCCUUGUGAACUUCCCCUUUGUGGCUCCGCUUCUGGUUGCUGUGCUCAGGCUGCCCACAGGGCCACAGCUUGCAGCAGGCUCAAGGACUUGGCUGUGGGUCCCCUUAGAUUCCUUGACUGGGUCCUGCUUUCCUGUCAGGUGACAGAGGGCUUGUCCACACUUCUGCUUGUCCUGUGCUUCCUGGGCAUGGGUCUGAGCAGUUUUGCCAUUGCACUACUGUAGGGGUCAACAAACUUACUGUGCCUCGGGCCGGUGUCUCCAGUGCCGAUCGCGUGGUGGGCUGGAGGGCGGGGGAGCACGUGCCCAUACGCAUGCGUACAUGCUAUUUCCAGCACACUUCCGGGUAGAAGGAGCACCGGAAAUAGCUUGUGCGCAUGUGCACGGGCCUCCUCCGACCCAGGUGUGCACCAGAAAUAAUGCUUGCGCAUGCACACAAGCUAUUUCUGGUGCUCCUCCGACUCGGAAGUGGACAGCUGCGCAGCGCAGCGCCAGUAAUAGCAGGCGGCGGCAGCGGGCAGUGGGGGUCGCUGCGGGCCAGAUAAACAAGUCCCUCAGGCCUUAUCUGGCCAGCGGGCCUUAGUUUGGGGACCUCUGCCCUACUGCUUUCCCCCAGAAAACCCACUCUUUGGCAGUAAAUCAGAACAAACAGCCAUCAACCUGAUUGCUGUUUGCUCAGAUUCAGCUGAAAUCAGGCUUCCCCAGCAAGACAAACAGAGGUGUGGAUAAGCUGAGAGUCUUAACAUUCUGCCAAACUCUGAUUCUUAUCCUGCCUAGUCAGUUACCUACCAGGGGCUGUAGGUCUGUGGGCAGAGCUCAUGAUUUGCAUGCAAAAGGUCUCAGGUUCAAUACCCUGGCUCUGGAACAAACUCCUGUCUGAAGCCCUGGAGAGCUACUGCCAGUCAGUGUUGAAACUACUGAUCUAGAUGAGCCAACACUGCACAGCCCAACACUGGCAGAAAGUCAACUCAGGUGGGUUCCAUUCAUGGGCUAAGAAAACAAUACGGCUGUUUGAACCGGUCCUCAGAAUAACUCUGACUAAUGUCUAGCAUGCAAUAAAGCCCAUUGUCUGCUCUGUCAAUUGUCUAGCAAGUGCCAAAAUAGAUGGUGAUGAAACAGGAGCUCCUCUCUGGCCGUUGUCCUGUUAUCCAGCUAUUCUGGAGCUCUGCCCUCUCUGGGCCAACUUUCAAUUCUACUUGAUUAGUGAUUCCCGCAGUUCCCUAGAGGGCUGGGGGGCAGGUAAACAUUUUGACACAUGAAGACCGAGCUUGUGAACUGCAUCCCCACUCCCUGGGAUGCUGCUAGCUGCUAUUUUGAUAGCCAUUGUUAGAACAUUACUGAGGAGACAGCAGAAUGU